UGCCAGCAGCCGCGGUAAUACGGAGGGGGUUAGCGUUGUUCGGAAUUACUGGGCGUAAAGCGUACGUAGGUGGUUCAGUCAGUCAGAUGUGAAAGCCCCGGGCUCAACCUGGGAAUUGCACCUGAUACUGCUGGACUAGAGUACGGUAGAGGGUAGUGGAAUUUCCUGUGUAGCGGUGAAAUGCGUAGAUAUAGGAAGGAACACCAGUGGCGAAGGCGACUACCUGGACGGGUACUGACGCUGAGGCGCGAAAGCAUGGGGAGCAAACAGGAUUAGAUA
rnacentral:rRNA from 1 species